ensembl:lincRNA Gm20757 predicted gene, 20757
AUUGAAGUCUUGAAGCCAGCUGGGAAUGGCUGCUAGCUUUUCAAUUAUCAUUUAUGAAUUCAUCAGAAUGAAAUAUUGACUACUAAUUAAGGGAAGAAAAUUACUCCUGGAAUAAAUUGAUAAAGGAAGAGAAAAAUCAAAAUGUGAACCCUUUGUAACACCCUCUCUGCUGGUUUUGAUGUGCAAACAUUUGUCCUGACAAGGUGGUAAAAUGUCUACGUGUGAAGAUGUUUGAGCAAGAAGAUUUCUGACAGCCAUGGUGGUCUGAGCUGAAGAUGAACCAGAGCUUAUCGAGUACAGAAAAAUCUUCUGGCCCUGUGGUUUUCAAGCCUGGCUGCACACUAGAUCUCCCGGAGUACUUUCAGAAAAAUAGCCACGGGUAUGACAUGUGUAGUGGCAUUCUUAAAAAACUCUCCAGGAUUCUCCCUCUUGCAUUCCUGAAGAAUUCAGAAUUCUACCUUCCCAUCUCGUAGUCUGUCCUCUAUUGAAGGCAACUCUCUUUUGAAUCUGAUUCCUGUGGAAGUAAUGGCAGGGUUUCUCACUGAACCGGAAGCUGAUAGUUGCAGCUAGUCCCACUGGCCAAUGAAUGCCUGAAUCCUCUUGUCUCCACCCCUCAACCCUGGAGUUCCGGGAAUGCAUGCGGAAGUUAUGCAGAUGUUCUUACCCAUGGAGCCAUCGUCCCAGCCUCUGGCAACUCAUUGUUUCUGCUUGCUUGAAGCUGCGGAAGUUUCUUCCCAUUGAACCUGCUGAGUUUGUUUAACACUUCGGGUGAAGGAACUGGUGAAGAACUUGAGGAGUGUGUUUCUCCAUGCAUUCAAAGACUAGCCAGGCUUGCUUUGAUUUGUGUUGAGACAGAGCUGUAUGUAACCCAGGCUGGCCUGAGACUUGGCCUUCUCUUUCUCCUCCUCCUGUCUCCAUCUCCUGCUGGGAUUCCAGGCGUGAAUAGCUAUGGCUGCAACAUGUGGUCCUGGGGAUUGAACCCAAGCCCUUAGGUGUGGCCUUCUUGGAGGAAGUGUGUCACUGUGGGAGUGGGCUUCGCGAUCUCUAUGCUCAGACUCUGCCUAGUGUGGAAAGAUAGUCAUCUGCCUGACUUUGGAUCAAGAUGUAGAAAUCUCAGCAACUUCUCCAGCACCAUGUCUGCCUGGACGAUGCCAUGCUUCCCACCUUGAUGAUAAUGGACUGAAACUGAAGAAGAACCACAUGAGAUGAGAGAACCAUUACUGACCGAAUCCUUGCUACAGUGGGCGCCUAAGAGCACUGCUUGAUUUCUUGCUCUGGUUUUUACUGUUUGACUAGAAGUAAGUAGACAGUGUGCAUUGAUUAGCAAAAUGCUGUGCAUUUUAAAAGAAAAGGGAGGAAAAUUAUACAUAUAAAAAUCAAGUACACUGAGAUAGAAAAGUAAGUAGACUCAGUGCGGGAUUGCAUGCUGCUAUGAAGACUAAAGUCACUAAAAUUGAAAUGUUUUCAUUGUGAACUUUUAUGUUUAACAAGCCCAGACACUCAGAACCCUGUACUUGAUAUUAAAGCCUUUUAUGAAGGGAUUACGUUUUGUAUGAUGAGUGUUUUAAUAUAAGUAUGGUACACUGAAUAAAAUAUAACUACGU